UGAGGUAGUAAGUUGUAUUGUUGUGGGGUAAGGAUUUAAGGCCCCAUUAAGAAGAUAACUAUACGACUUACUACUUUCCC
rnacentral:pre_miRNA from 1 species